CAAGAUAAAUCUCAUUAGUUGAGUUUUUCAUUUACACUGAGAAGGUUUACUGUGCGAUUCAGUUUAUCUUGA
rnacentral:tRNA from 1 species